AGGAAGAAGAAGAAGAAGAAGAAAGAAGAAGAAGGAGAAGAAGGAGGAGAAGAAGAAGAAGGGGUAUUUGGGUUUGGGUUUAGUGAGGGUUAAUUUUGUCAAUUCACGUGUCCCAAAUGGCUAUUUUGGACGGAAGGACUGCGAAUUUGGACGGAAGAGAAAGUGAGGGACUUAAGUGUUGGGUCGCCAAAAUAGAGGGACAGAAGUGUUAAUUACGUUAAACCUGAGGGACUAAAAAGUAAUUUUCCC
rnacentral:lncRNA from 1 species